GACGAACGCUGGCGGCGUGCUUAACACAUGCAAGUCGAACGGAAAGGCCCUGCUUUUGUGGGGUGCUCGAGUGGCGAACGGGUGAGUAACACGUGAGUAACCUGCCCUUGACUGUGGGAUAAUUUAAGGAAACUGGGGCUAAUACCGGAUAGGAGCUCCUGUUGCAUGGUGGGGGUUGGAAAGUUUCGGCGGUUGGGGAUGGACUCGCGGCGGAUCAGCUUGUUGGUGGGGUAGUGGCUUACCAAGGCUUUGACGGGUAGCCGGCCUGAGAGGGUGACCGGCCACAUUGGGACUGAGAUACGACCCAGACUCCUACGGGAGGCAGCGGUGGGGAAUAUUGCACAAUGGGCGGAAGCCUGAUGCAGCAACGCCGCGUGCGGGAUGACGGCCUUCGGGUUGUAAACCGCUUUCGCCUGUGACGAAGCGUGAGUGACGGUAAUGUGUAAAUAAGCACCGGCUAACUACGUG
rnacentral:rRNA from 1 species